AAGACCAUACGAGAGAGUGAAAACAAGCGCAGACGGAAAUUGGAUGUUUUUCAACAGUAGAAAUCCUAAUUUCAGCGAUAUAGAAUCUGAGGAUUCUGAAUUCUUCUUACAUCCCUGGCAUCAAUCUUUUGGGGAACUUCAAUAAAAAAUUGACAGACUUGAACAACUCUAAGACAGGCAAGCCACUAGAUUAACUAGACAAGAAAUGGCUGGUGGAAUACAACAAACAAGCCCUCAAGGAUUUUUACAGCCUAACUACAAGGGAGACUGUUUCUUCCAUGCUGUUGCCUUCAAAGAGUUUAGCUAAAAUUGAACUAUGGAAUUUUAGCAUGAAAAGGUAACACAACCAGCAGCUUGUGUGUGUACAGCAAUAAGAGUUUGUAAGAUUUGAAGAAGGCUUAUCGAUAUGCUUUUUCCCGUUUUUAUUGAAUCUAUUAAAAAGCAACUAUAAUUCAA